rnacentral:lncRNA from 1 species
GCCUAUGUCCUGCUUGUGCUUCAUUGAUGAAGAUCUCUAUUACAAGGGUGCGGAAUCGCUACCCUUUGUAAAAAAUUGGGAAUAAUAACUUGUCUGGCGUUGAGUCGGCCUUCAAUGCUUUGGCUUGAUGAAAAUUUUGGGAAUAAGGAAACCAUAUAAUGUUGGCCCGCCAGGUGAUGUUGUGCCGGCUUUCAAUGCUUCAGCUCCACUUAAAAUUAAGCUUAAAAUUGAUCGCUUGAGGAUGCUCUUCCUCUUUUUUUUUAUAUAUCCAUAUUACCUGUAGCCCCAAGCUCUGAGUUUAUCAGUUCAUGAUGACUUGGUGCUUUCCUUUAAAAUAAUAUCUUGACCAUGUAGCCCUCAAGUGCCAGGUUGUCUUGCCCGCAACAGCCUGGGACUUUGAACUUUAGCUUUGAAUGUUGUAGCUGGCUUUGAGAAAUCCAGGUUGUCCAUCUGAAUCACCAGCUAUAAGUUUUUUUUUUGCUUUUUACAUGUGUAGCCCCCAAGGGCCGGCUCAUUAAUAUGUGAUGGGCCGGGUCUUCAAU